rnacentral:tRNA from 1 species
CCUUCGAUAGCUCAGUUGGUAGAGCGGAGGACUGUAGUAGAUGUUAAGCGUGGCAAUCCUUAGGUCGCUGGUUCGAUUCCGGCUCGAAGGA